GUUUGGGGUGAUUUGCAUGUAUAAUGUGGACCUAUGUAAAAUACGGGACAAAUCGCGUCCCGUAUUGAUUUGAUACGGGACGAUUCCGUAUUUCACGGGACGGAUGGCAACCCUAAGUUCGCUCCUGUUCUCACUCCAUAUAUAUCCUGUUGUCAUGUUAUGUCCAUGAUAAACAGUCAUCUCCUCAUUAGACUCUCUUUCUCUGUCUUACUUUCUUUUUCUUGAAAAACGCAGCCUAUCAUUUUAACAUUUACGGCAUUGACAGACGUCCUUAUCCAGAGUGAUAUAACUAAUUUUUCUAAUUUAUAAAAGUAACUAGUUGAGGGUUAAGGACCUUGCUCAAGUCCCCAGGAGUGUCAGCUUGGUGGUCCUGGGAUUUGAGCUCACACCUUCAGAGCAGCAGUCCCACAUCUUAACCAUUGUUAUAUGCCAUUGUACAAAAAUGGUUCACAUUUUCCAACAUAGAUUGGAAAGUUCAUCUCAGCUAUAUAAGUAUCUAAAGUACUGAAUUUAAACAAUUGUCCUCUGUCUUUUUUUCUGUCUAACUGGCAGAGAAGGGGAAGUCCUUUGUGGAUAUUCAGGGUCUCACAGCCUCCACCAUGGAGAUCCUGUUGGACUUUGUUUACACAGGGAAUGUACAGGAGCUGCUUCCCGCUGCCUGCCUGCUCCAACUCAAAGAUGGAGCUGUAUUCUAACUCAAAAUGACUCACUUUUCUCUCCUUUCCACUGCUCUGUGUGCAGGUGUGAAGAGGGCUUGCUGUGAUUUUCUCAACAGUCAGCUUGACCCAUGCAACUGUCUGGGCAUCCGAGAUUUUGCAGACACACAUAACUGCGUUGAUCUGAUACAAGCAGCAGAUCUUUUUUCCCAGAAGCUCUUUUCUGAGGUGGUGCAAAAUGAAGAGUUCAUGCUCCUCAGUCAGAGUGAAGUGGAAAAGCUCGUCAAAUGUGAUGAAAUUCAGGUGAGAAGAGGGCUUGCUGUGAUUUUCUCAACAGUCAGCUAGACCCAUCCAACUGUCUGGGCAUCCGAGAUUUUGCAGACACACAACUGCGUUGAUCUGAUGCAGGCAGCAGAUCUUUUUUUUCCCAGAAGCUCUUUUCUGUAGUCGGUGUUGUUCAUCAUCUAUUUGACAACAGUUACUUAAGAUGGUUGAGACAUCAUAUGAGCUGGGAAGAUGGUUAAAAUUGAUGGGAAGAUGGAUGGAGCCAAAUACAGGACCAUUCUGGAAGAAAACCUGAUGGAGUCUGCAAAAGACCUGAGACUGGGACGGAGAUUGGUCUUCCAACAAGACAAUGAUCCAAAACAUAAAGCAAAAUCUACAAUGGAAUGGUUCAAAAAUAAACAUAUCCAGGUGUUAGAAUGGCCAAGUCAAAGUCCAGACCUAAAUUCAAUCGAGAAUCUGUGGAAAGAACUGAAAACUGUUGAUCACAAACGCUCUCCAUCCAACCUCACUGAGCUCGAGCUGUUCUGCAAGGAGGAAUGGGCAAAAAUUUCAGUCUCUCCAUGUGCAAAACUGAUAGAGACAUACCCCAAGCGACUUACAGCUGUAAUCGCAGCAAAAGGUGGCGCUACAAAGU